rnacentral:tRNA from 1 species
GGAGCAGGGAGGUCCUCAAGCGGGGGUUCGAUUCCCUCAAG